UAGGGAAAAAAUGCAUUUUUCAAAGACCUAACUUCAAUUCAGUUAUUACCUAGUGGGGAAAUGGAUCCAAAUUUUAUUUCUGUACGACAACAGUUCUUAUUGAAAGUUGUCAGUGCAGCUGUCCAGGCCCAACAUUCAGCCACAAAGGUCAAAGAUCCCACAGAAGAGGCCACACCCACUCCUUUUGGGAAAGACCAAGAUUGGCCAGCUCUAGCUGUGGAUUUAGCCCAUCACCUUCAAGUUAGUGAAGAUGUUGUUAGAAGGCAUUAUGUGGGGGAACUAUACAACUAUGGAGUUGACCACUUAGGAGAAGAGGCCAUUCUACAGGUUCAUGACAAAGAGGUCCUUGCCUCUCAGCUGCUGGUGCUCACGGGGCAAAGGCUGGCUCAUGCGCUUCUCCACACCCAGACAAAAGAAGGAAUGGAGCUGCUUGCCAGACUUCCACCCACACUGUGUACUUGGCUGAAAGCAAUGGUCAGUACAAUAGAACGAGAUCAGGCAAAAGGUCAUUGGAUGUUUUCUUGAGUGCCUGGUUAAUAACAGUUAUGAAGAAAAUUUGACAAGUUUAAUUCACCUAGUUACAAAGAAAAGCAUUUUUAUGUAAUAACUCUUAAGUCAAUAACAAUUAUUGUUUAGUUGUCUAUAAUAGGUUAUUUUUGUGUCCCAUUUGCAGGACCCCCAGGACCUUCAAAACACUGAAGUGCCAAUUGCAACAACAGCUAAACUAGUAAAUAAAGUAAUUGAGCUUUUACCAGAAAAACAUGGGCAAUAUGGUCUAGCCUUACACCUCAUUGAAGCUGUGGAAGCCAUAUCUCUUCCUUCUUUAUGACACUUACCUACUGGAAAUAGUCUAAAAUUAUGAUUAUAACAUGAAGUAGUGCAUGGUUAUUUUACAUA
rnacentral:ncRNA from 2 species